AUAAUAAUAUANUUGGUUCCAUUCCUUCUUCCAUUGGUGAUUUGGAACAUCUUCUGAAAUUGAAUCUGAGCAGAAAUCAUUUAACAGGCUUUAUUCCGGCAGAGUUUGGUAAUCUAAGAAGUGUCAUGGAUAUUGACCUUUCAAAUAAUAAACUCUCUGGCUUGAUCCUUGAAGAACUUAGUCAGCUUCAGAACAUGAUAUCUUUGAGACUAGAAAUGAACAAAUUAUCUGGGGAUGUGUCUUCGCUUGUAAAUUGCCUUAGUCUUUCUUUGAU